ensembl:lncRNA
GUUUUAGAGUUAUGGCCAUUCUCAGGACGAGGAUCAGACUGAGCAGUGAGUCGUCCUCUAACAGGGCAGGAAAUCUGCUGCUGCUCUGAAUCAAAGUCAGAAGGUGACAGAGCGGCUGCUGCAUCAUUCAUGAGGCCUCUCGUGUCGUCUGUCAGAUUCCUCUGUCGUCAUGGUCAAUUCAUCACUGAGCAUGUGACACUUUCUCCUUUCACUGUGGUGAUCACUGAGAUCUGCUGUCAGCCUGUGUUCCUGUACCAUAUCCCUGAGCAUUAUUCACCCUUUACCUUUCCCUCUGGCCCAAAGAGCCUGUUCUGUGUUGUCACUGUUGAAUUUAGAGGCACCGUCCUCUGGCUCUUCAGCUGCUAAAUGCUCCAUCAUGUUCACCAGCUCAUCUCUGACUGUGUCUGUCUGCUGUUUGCUGCUGAGCAGGUAGUGGACACUGGCUUUUUACAGCUGCAGCUCUGGAAACAGCCGCUGAAACACUGAAGCCCACUCUGAUCACUGAUUUUCUUACACCAUGUUUGAUUGGAAACUUUGUCAUUGUCACACUCAUUUGGCAAACUGUUAUUUGCAGACCCUUCAUUGAUCUCCAGCAUUGACUUCAGGUCUGAGUCGUGAUGAUUUUCACCUUUAUCAAUAAGAAAACACCCAUUAGGUCCUUUAAAUAAAACGACUAUGCUAAAACUAUUCAGGUUUGCAUUCUGAAUUCACAGUCUCCUUGCUCUCCUUAAUUUCUUCGUAUUUCUGUGGUUUCAGGUCAGCAGGAGGUCAGCUGUCCUCCUCUGGCCCUCAUGACAACAGGCCCCCUUCCUCCUCCCAGUUCAGCAGCCGCCCCUCUUUUUCCAAAGUGGGCGGAGAACGAGACCGGGAGCGUGAGCACCGGGAACGGCUGGCUCAGUCGUCCAGGCUGUUCUGCCGACCCGAGCACAGAGACGACAUCUGGAACCAGCAGCGCCGCCGCUCGGCCGGUCUGGUCAUGCUCCCACACUUUGACUCAUAAAAGCCGUGAAGUCUUGGAGGUCUUGGAGUUGUGGGCUUUUUUAUGCAAACGGCAGCGUAACUCUCGGUGAUGACUGUGGGUGGUGCUUCAGGCUCAUCUCUGGUGAAACUGCUUCAUGUUGUGUUUCUGGUCGGUGGUGGAAGAUGCAUGAAGCAGCUACUACUACUACUAAUACUACUACUACCACCAUUACUACUACAUAUGUAGCUCUUGUGUUACUGUGAAAGCAUGCUUCAUAUGUAGCAAAAAAAAAAACAACUUCUGUUUGUUCUACUGCUGUGUACUUUUGUAGCAGAGCGAGGUCUGUGUUAAUGGUACUCGGAGGAGAGUUGCACUCAGCUCGGAGCUGUUGGAGUUCACCUGAGAGGGGUGUUGUGCACUGGACAAUCAGCAGGGUUCAUGCACAGGUUUGGAAGAGUCCGGAGCGUAGAUUUUUAUUACUUCUGUGUGUUUAAAAGUGUUUUGGGGAAACGUGUAGUAGCUCUGAAGUUUGACAUGUGGGUAAAAAUAUAACCAGGCAAGUAUUUUCUCUGGAAUCAAUGUUAGUUUGAUUAUAACGUUACUACCUUUCUUGCCGUGAGUCGGUAGAAAUACUUUUUUUUUGUUGUUGUUGUGUGAAACUGUUUCAACGGCCAAGUUUAAUAUCAUCUUGUUCUCCCAUAGGGAUUUUAUUUGCAGAAGUAAUCUCUAGUUUUGUGCCUUCACUGAGAAAACUCUGUAGUUUGUAUAACACUGUGCAAAAUGCAAUACUGUGAAGAACUGGAACUCUUUCCAUAUUGAAACCUGUCAGUCUGUGAUAACCAUGAAGAUUAAAGAGCAAACAUGACACCAACAACAUCGUCAUGUUUUUUUAUUCACUCAUUCAAAAUUCAGGAUUUUACUGUGGAGUCACA